UACGGGGGGGGCAAGCGUUGUUCGGAAUUACUGGGCGUAAAGGGCUCGUAGGUGGCCAACUAAGUCAGACGUGAAAUCCCUCGGCUUAACCGGGGAACUGCAUCUGAUACUGGAUGGCUUGAGUUCGGGAGAGGGAUGUGGAGUUCCAGGUGUAGCGGUGAAAUGCGUAGAUAUCUGGAGGAACACCGGUGGCGAAGGCGGCAUCCUGGACCGACACUGACGCUGAUGAGCGAAAGCCAGGGGAGCAAACGGG
rnacentral:rRNA from 1 species